rnacentral:rRNA from 1 species
UACGUAGGGUGCGAGCGUUGUCCGGAAUUAUUGGGCGUAAAGAGCUCGUAGGCGGUCUGUCACGUCGGUCGUGAAAACUUGGGGCUUAACCCUGAGCUUGCGGUCGAUACGGGCAUGACUUGAGUUCGGCAGGGGAGACUGGAAUUCCUGGUGUAGCGGUGAAAUGCGCAGAUAUCAGGAGGAACACCGGUGGCGAAGGCGGCUCUCUGGGACGGUACUGACGCUGAGACGCGAAAGCGUGGGAGCAACAGG